GAUGAACGCUAGCUACAGGCUUAACACAUGCAAGUCGAGGGGCAGCGGGAUUGAAGCUUGCUUCAAUUGCCGGCGACCGGCGCACGGGUGAGUAACGCGUAUCCAACCUUCCGUACACUCAGGGAUAGCCUUUCGAAAGAAAGAUUAAUACCUGAUGGUAUGAUGAGAUUGCAUGAUAGCAUCAUUAAAGAUUUAUCGGUGUACGAUGGGGAUGCGUUCCAUUAGGUAGUAGGCGGGGUAACGGCCCACCUAGCCAACGAUGGAUAGGGGUUCUGAGAGGAAGGUCCCCCACAUUGGAACUGAGACACGGUCCAAACUCCUACGGGAGGCAGCAGUGAGGAAUAUUGGUCAAUGGACGAGAGUCUGAACCAGCCAAGUAGCGUGAAGGAUGAAGGUCCUACGGAUUGUAAACUUCUUUUAUACGGGAAUAAAGUUUCCUACGUGUAGGAUUUUGUAUGUACCGUAUGAAUAAGCAUCGGCUAACUCCGUG
rnacentral:rRNA from 1 species